GAGUGCGGCGAUGAGUCCGACCAGGGCGUGCUGGCAGAGGAGGCCCAGGAGCUCGCCGCCCCUGAUGGCGAGGGCGUGCCCGACUUGGAUGGUGGCCGCCAAGGACAACGCCAGUGAGGACGUCGUCCCGGAGUUCAUUGAUGGCCUCAUCCCAUUUGACAAGGCGUGUACCACUACUAGUGCGUCCCUGUGGACGGCAGGAGAAAUAGUGAGGAUGAAGAGGUGAAUGGUGUUGAUUGUUGAACUGAAAGCUUGAUUUGGUCAGGUGGAGGGUGGCUUUGUGAAGGAUGGGGAGGUGGGAGAAGAACUCUGAAGGAAAGCGGUGAGUAGAUGUCGAUGAUGUCUACUUGCUUGGCUGCUAUGGUGAUGCAUGCACCGGUGAAGCACGCACACAUGCAAGGUUGGCCCCAUGUCUUCCUUGGCUGCGAACAUCAUCUAUAGGCUAGCAGUAUGACCGGAUGCGAGGACCUGCUCACUGACCAGGACAAUCUAUGAGCUCCCAGCACCUCUUAUACAAGGUGUGUUAGGGCCAACCUCUUUCAGAAGAAGGCCACACUCGUAGCCCCUCUGGAUCAAAAUUGGAUGGCAAGUUUUCGCAACUGGAGCAAGUCUCACAAGAGAGAGCAAUGAAGUCCAUUGUACUCUCCUGUUAUAUACUUCUUGUUGUAGGAUGGCAAGUUGUAGGAUGUGCCAUAAUUGUCUUAUUGCAUAUUCCCUUUGUUCCUUCUAUAUUCCUCUAUAAGGAAAUGUAUUCCUAAGAUGAUUUGUUAUGUAAACCUGAUGUG